ensembl:lncRNA
GGCGCAGGUGAGCCCGAGGCGGCUCCACGUGCCCCCAGGGCCCUUAGGGCCCCGCCUGCAGUCCGGGCUCGCGGAGAAAGGAAGCGGGCCGGGAGCCCAGAGGCGGGGACGUGGCCAUGCCGCGGGGAGCUGAGCAGAGCCUGCGGGCCUCUCGGGCUAACAAGGCGCAGAUAUGUGGGCAUCUCGGUUGCCUAACUCAGAGUCACCUGCUUCCAGGAGACCUCGGUUUUGUUCAUCUACUCUGAGCCCUUCCAAAGUCCUGCCUCGCCUACUUCCACUCUUUCCCAUUAGACAUCACUCAGUAAAACAUCCUGAGAAAAAGACUUAAAAUAAAUGCAGAGUGGGAGAAAAUAAUGGAGUUACUCCAUUGCUGCAACUAUGCUAACUAUGCAUGCAUAUGAAUAAAGAAGUGGGGAAUUACAUUCGUGGGUGCCUUAAGGCUGCUGUGAUCAGUUUUUAUUUUUGCUUUCUUUUUUUUCGAAUUCCCUUUUCUGUUGUCCUGAACACUCCGGAAUCCCCAAACUUUUCAGAAGCUCCCUCAUUUCUGAUGACUCCUGAUUUUGUCAGUUUUAAUCUGCCCCCGGGGAAUUAUCAUUCCGAGUCUUGCUCUGUUGUCCAGGCUGGAGUGCAGUGGCGCGAUCUCGGCUCACUGCAACCGCUUCUUCCCGGGUUCAAUCGAUUCUCCUGCUGAAGCCUCUCAAGUAGCAGGGACUACAAGCACGCAUCACUACACCAGGCAAUUUUUUUUUUUUUUUUUUUUUUUUUUUUUGGUAUUUUUACUAGAGAUGGGGUUUCACCAUGUUGAUCUCAAUCUCUGGACUGGUGAUCCACCCGCCUCAGCCUUCCUAAGUGCUGGGAUUCCAGGUGUGAGCCCGGCCCACAACCUGAUCAUCUCUUAAAGCCUGCAGCUUUUUAAUACUUUUUUUUUUUUUUUUUUUUUUUGAGACGGAGUUUCACUCUUGUUACCCAGGCUGGAGUGCAAUGGCGUGAUCUUGGCUCACCGCAACCUCCGCCUCCUGGGUUCAGGCAAUUCUUUUGCCUCAGCCUCCCAAGUACCUGGGACCACAGGCAGGCGCCACCAUGCCCAGCUAAUUUUUUUUGUAUAUUUAGUAGAGACGGGGUUUCACCAUGUUGACCAGGAUGGUCUCCGUCUCUUGACCUCGUGAUCCACCCGCCUUGGCCUCCCAAAGUGCUGGGAUUACAGGCUUGAGCCACCGCGCCUGGCCGCUUCUUAAUACUAUUAUAAUGGCAAUUAAAUCUCCCAUGCUUGUGAACUUUUGAAAGAAAGACUUAAUCCAUAGCAACUUCAUAUUAAGAGAAAAAUGCUGAAGCCAAAAAUAAAGAUGUGGACACUGGAACGAAAAGUCUACUUUGAAACUGGUUGGUCUGAAGAAUUUAACAACGUUUUAAACCUGCAGGCUUGCACUUGAUUGCUAACUCUGGGGACCUGAGGCCAAAUGUUGGGUCUUCAGAAGGAAAGGAAUUGGACUUCAGAUCUGCAUACAAACUUGGGAUCAGUAUAGUACUACAACAAGACUGAAAUUGGGGACCAGAAAUGUCCACUUAUCAACAAAGGGACAAAAUUAGAAGAUUUGUCUUCCGUAUCCUAAUAUCUGGG